UACGAAGGGGGCUAGCGUUGCUCGGAAUUACUGGGCGUAAAGCGCACGUAGGCGGCUUUCUAAGUCGGGGGUGAAAUCCUGGAGCUCAACUCCAGAACUGCCUUCGAUACUGGAAAGCUCGAGUCCGGGAGAGGUGAGUGGAACUGCGAGUGUAGAGGUGAAAUUCGUAGAUAUUCGUAAGAACACCAGUGGCGAAGGCGGCUCACUGGCCCGGUACUGACGCUGAGGUGCGAAAGCGUGGGGAGCAAACAGG
rnacentral:rRNA from 1 species